CCCCACGUCUUUUGUAUGUUUACAGUAACUGCACCGUUCAGAUAUGGGACAUCCGGCAGAGAGAGAUCUUUC